GGAUUGAGGGCCUGCUCACUGAGUUUACAUGUUAGAGGGAGUGGGGUAUAGUGACACAGUAACAGAGGGACUGAGGGCCCUGCUCAGUGAAUUUACAUGUUAGAGGGAGUGAGGUAUAGUGACAUAGGAACAGAGGGAUUGAGGGUCCUGCUCAGUGAGUUUACAUGUUAGAGGGAGUGGGGUAUAGUGACAUAGGAACAGAGGGAUUGAGGGCCUGCUC